AACGCGAAGAACCUUACCAGCUCUUGACAUGUCUCGUAUGGGCCGGGGAGACCCGGUUCUUCAGUUCGGCUGGCGGGAACACAGGUGCUGCAUGGCUGUCGUCAGCUCGUGUCGUGAGAUGUUGGGUUAAGUCCCGCAACGAGCGCAACCCUCGCCCUUAGUUGCCAUCAUUUAGUUGGGCACUCUAAGGGGACUGCCGGUGAUAAGCCGCGAGGAAGGUGGGGAUGACGUCAAGUCCUCAUGGCCCUUACAGGCUGGGCUACACACGUGCUACAAUGGCGGUGACAAUGGGACGCAAUGGGGAAACCCUGCGCAAAUCUCAAAAAGCCGUCUCAGUUCGGAUUGUGCUCUGCAACUCGAGCACAUGAAGUUGGAAUCGCUAGUAAUCGCAGAUCAGCACGCUGCGGUGAAUACGUUCCCGGGCCUUGUACACACGAGACGAC
rnacentral:rRNA from 1 species